GUUAGGGGUGUACAUGGGUUGGGUAAACCCAAAAAAACCCAUCAAACCCACCCAAAAAAACCCAAAAAAGUGGGUUGGGUUGGGUGAUUGGGUGGAUAUGGUUUUAAAAAAUGAAAAACCCAUAAAAAAUAAUGGAUUUUGGGUAAAACCGAACCCAUACCCAAUAAACCAACUUACCCAAUAAUUUCCAAAUUUUAAUUUCAUUUUCAUAGGGAGGAAGAAGAAUAACAAAUGUUUUGAUCAUAAAUUUAGUUUAAUUUCUAAAAUUGACACAACACA
rnacentral:lncRNA from 1 species